GACGAACGCUGGCGGCGUGCCUAAUACAUGCAAGUCGAGCGAGCGGAACCAACAGAUUUACUUCGGUAAUGACGUUGGGAAAGCGAGCGGCGGAUGGGUGAGUAACACGUGGGGAACCUGCCCCUAAGUCUGGGAUACCAUUUGGAAACAGGUGCUAAUACCGGAUAAUAAAGCAGAUCGCAUGAUCAGCUUUUGAAAGGCGGCGUAAGCUGUCGCUAAGGGAUGGCCCCGCGGUGCAUUAGCUAGUUGGUAAGGUAACGGCUUACCAAGGCGACGAUGCAUAGCCGAGUUGAGAGACUGAUCGGCCACAUUGGGACUGAGACACGGCCCAAACUCCUACGGGAGGCAGCAGUAGGGAAUCUUCCACAAUGGACGCAAGUCUGAUGGAGCAACGCCGCGUGAGUGAAGAAGGUUUUCGGAUCGUAAAGCUCUGUUGUUGGUGAAGAAGGAUAGAGGUAGUAACUGGCCUUUAUUUGACGGUAAUCAACCAGAAAGUCACGGCUAACUACGUGCCAGCAGCCGCGGUAAUACGUAGGUGGCAAGCGUUGUCCGGAUUUAUUGGGCGUAAAGCGAGCGCAGGCGGAAAAAUAAGUCUAAUGUGAAAGCCCUCGGCUUAACCGAGGAACUGCAUCGGAAACUGUUUUUCUUGAGUGCAGAAGAGGAGAGUGGAACUC
rnacentral:rRNA from 1 species